AUUGAACGCUGGCGGCAUGCCUAACACAUGCAAGUCGAGCGAGCGGCGGACGGGUGAGUAAUGUAUGGGGACUGCCCGAUAGAGGGGGAUAACUACUGGAAAAGGUGGCUAAUACCGCAUACUGUCGGAUAACCCAUAUGGGAUUAGCUAGUAGGUAAGGUAAUGGCUUACCUGGGCUACGAACCCUAGCUGGUCUGAGAGGAUGAUCAGCCACACUGGAACUGAGACCGGCCCCAGCUUCCUACGGAGGAAGCAGUGGGGAAUAUUGCACAAUGGGCGAAAGCUUGAUGCAGCCAGGCGGCGUGUAUGAAGAAGGCCCUAGGGUUGUAAAGUACUUUCAGUCGGGAGGCGGUACCGACAGAGGAAGCACCGGCUAACUCCGUGCCAGCAGCCGCGGUAAUUC
rnacentral:rRNA from 1 species